CUUUUUUAAAUGAUUUGUCCAAAGUUUCUAUUCAUCUAUCCUAGCAAUAGAGCCAAGUGUCUGAGAUACAACAGCUGCCCUGGGAAUCUUGUCCAACGAGCAAGUUCACUGCUAUCCACAGUUCUAUCUGGUCUUUCCUACUUCCAAGCAAACAAAAGAUUUUUGUCAUUCUUGGCAUUAGGCAAUGGAAGUAGCAAGACAUGCGGGCCAGGCUCCAGAGGCGGAAUGUCCCCCCACCUGUUUUGUGCUGGAAGACAGGCUUCUAGGGGUGAGGCGGUCUGGGGGGGGGGGGGGGGGGAUGGGUCCUGGAGCGGCAGCUGAAUGCGCCAGCAGGACCCUUGGCAGCAGGAGCUGGGCACUGAGGCUGGGCAUUCAGGAGAGCUAAAUGCAGAAAAGAAACUUGAGCAAACUGCUUCCUGGUCUACUGAGGACCUGAAUGGGAAAUGAAGGCGUACCAGAUUCUCGCUAUUCUUACACAGCCAAGAAAAGUGCUACUGCUGUAUUACGUUCUUGCUUGCAAAGCUCCCCCAUCCCAAAGUUACAGCUUCAAGCACAACCAGGGUGAAAAGCUUCCUCUGGGAAGACAGGUGACUUAUUCUGACUCUCAAGGGGACAGCUCCAUAAGUGGGAGAGCAGAAUGUGCCAGCUUGCUUGUUGACCAUUUCUUGUGUGAUGUCAUGUGAACAAAAAGCUGGGGCUAAAGUCUGGCCUCUCCGGCCUGGCAGACAAAAACCCCACCACUCAGCGGGCCCCUGGACUGGGAGAACUUGAGGCAGGAAGGACCACUUCCAGAGUUGAGCACGCAUUACCUGCGGAGGUGGGCUGGCGGCAGCAGGGGGAACAGGCGCGCGGGCUGUUGUGAAUGUUGUGCCGUGUGCCUGGGGCGUUCUGGAACCCGGGAUUACAGCCUAGAAGCCUAGCAGUUUGGGAAAUUCUUCCAGCAGCUUUCAGUUUUUCAGGAAACACAAAAGUAAUUGUUUACUCAAAAUGAAACCUCAAGGAUGACUUUUAAUUAGAAAAAAAAAAAAUCUUGACUCUAGUUUCCUCUUAAGAAAAUAAAUUCGUUAUUAUGGAACAAA